rnacentral:rRNA from 1 species
AUGCCAGGCCGGUGCUCCCAGGAGAAGGGCACCGCGGAGGCCCGGAGCGGGGAGAGGAAGCGGUGGUGGAACGGCGAGGGCGCCGGGGAGAAGGGGGCGAAGGAGAAGGACGCGGAGGAAGACGACGCCGACGACGCCGACGAGGACGAGGAGGUGGGAGCGGACGACGGCUUCGGGGACGUGAGGAGGCGCUGGCGCCGGCGGCUGGACGGAGAUUUGCGCGCCGGGGCCGGGAGCGGCGACGGCGAGGAGGGGGUAGGCGGGUUGGGCAUUGCAAAGAAGCUGUGGUUUGUGGUGCCGUGGUGUGGUGUGGAGUUUCGGAGCUCGAGUGUGGGGCUUGUGGUCUUUUAUGGUUGGGUCAUGGCGUCGGCGCGCGCGCAAAUGGGGGCGCGGUCUGCCUGGCUAGCUCCGCCACGUGGCAUGGCAUGA